UGCCAGCAGCCGCGGUAAUACGGAGGGUCCAAGCGUUGUCCGGAAUCACUGGGCGUAAAGCGGGUGUAGGCGGUGAAGUAAGUCGGAUGUGAAAGCCCAGGGCCCAACCCUGGAACUGCAUUCGAAACUGCUUCACUAGAGUCCCGGAGGGGAAGGCGGAAUUCCCGGUGUAGAGGUGAAAUUCGUAGAUAUCGGGAGGAACACCAGUGGCGAAGGCGGCCUUCUGGACAAAUACUGACGCUGAGGUGCGAAAGCGUGGGGAGCAAACAGGAUUAGAUA
rnacentral:rRNA from 1 species